rnacentral:rRNA from 1 species
CUGGCUCAGGAUGAACGCUGGCGGCGUGCUUAACACAUGCAAGUCGAACGAAGCACUUUAUUACGAUCUCUUCGGAGUGACGA